UUUUCUAAACUUUGGGAGUUUGGUUCCUUGUAUACACUCGGAAUCUAUCUGAGUAUCUGUAGUUGUGAGUUUUCAUCGAAAUAUCGAAGCAAGAAAUUGUGAUUUUCGAUUGUGGAUUAAGGAAUUUUGUUCUCGAAUUGAUAUGAAUUGGAAUAAUUGGAGGGCCGUUCAGGCUGAGGCUCAGGGAGGCGGUGAAGGUAGCGAAACGGCUGCCGGAGCUAUGGAUUCCGGUGAUUUGCGUCAAAGGAUUGACAACAUGAUAAUGGAGACCUUAAAGAGGCAUGUUUCUGUCUCUGGGCAAGAAAGAGUACAGGAGCUUAAGGAAAUUGCUGUGACGUUUGAAGAAAAGAUAUAUUCUACUGCUACAAGUCAGCAUGAUUAUCUUCAAAAGAUAUCUUCAUAGAUGUUGAUCGUGGAGACAAGAAGAUCUCAAAAUCUUAUUCAGCCAAAUCCUGCAAGUAGUGGUCAGAAUGCCCUUGGUCGAGGAUCACACAACAUGCAAUCCCAAGUCAACAGCCAAGCACUUCCUGUACCUAUGGUGGCCAAUCAAACUCAAACACGACAACCACUGUUGCAGCAAAACCUUCAGAACAACAUGGCAUCAACUGGGCUGCAAAAUUCUGCUAGCUUGGCUCCUGCACUUCCUUCUGGACAAAACCUACCUGCUGUGGAUGAAAGCAAGAAUGUUGCAAAUGUGCCUGAAAUUUUCAAUGAAGCUAGUCCCAAUUAAUGAGGCUUCGAUGAUCAACCAGGCACAUUAUGGUUGUUUUGAAAUCUUGGAUACACCUUUGAGCACAUGUUGAGGAAUGAUUGGAGAAAAUCGAGACUCAUUCCAAAAAGGUAGAAACAUUGUUUGCCGGGGGUGGAGCAAGGACUCUCUUCCACAGCAUCUUACAAAUGAGCAAAUUGUACAACUCAAGAUGUUCAAGAUGACAUUGGAACGCAUUCUGUGUUUCUUGGGGGUUAACAAGCAUGAUAUUCAACAUGCUCAGAAGGAGAAAUUGCUUUUGGUUGAGAAGCACAAAGAUUUCUUUCUUAGUCCCUAUCAGCUGCGAAAGCUUACUUCCUCAGUCUUCCAUGCAGCUUCAGCAACCACAAUCUCUUGAUGGUCAAACUAAUCCCUCGAUGCAACCCGUACAGGGCAAUCUUGGAUCCCUACAACAAAAUUCAAACAACCUGCAACAGUCACUCCUUAAGCAGCGCUCACAGCAAAUGUUGCAGAACUAACAAUUAAGACAGUUGCACCACCAUCGACAAA